rnacentral:rRNA from 1 species
GCAUGGCCCGCAAAGCAAAACUCCGGUGGUACGGGAUGGGCCCGCGUCUGAUUAGCUGGUUGGCGGGGUAACGGCCCACCAAGGCGACGAUCAGUAGCCGGCCUGAGAGGGCGGCCGGCCACAUUGGGACUGAGACACGGCCCAGACUCCUGCGGGAGGCAGCAGUGGGGAAUAUUGCACAAUGGGGGAAACCCUGAUGCAGCGACGCCGCGUGGGCGAGGAAGUACCUCGGUAUGUAAAGCCCUAUCAGCAGGGAAGAAACAGGACAGUACCUGACUAAGAAGCCCCGGCUAACUACGUGCCAGCAGCCGCGGUAAUACGUAGGGGGCAAGCGUUAUCCGGAUUCACUGGGCGUAAAGGGAGCGCAGGCGGCAUGGCAAGUCUGAUGUGAAAACCCGGGGCCCAACCCCGGGAGUGCAUUGGAAACUGCCAGGCUGGAGUGUCGGAGGGGUAAGCGGAAUUCCUAGUGUAGCGGUGAAAUGCGUAGAUAUUAGGAGGAACACCAGUGGCGAAGGCGGCUUACUGGACGACUACUGACGCUGAGGCUCGAAAGCGUGGGGAGCAAACAGGAUUAGAUACCCUGGUAGCCCACGCCGUAAACGAUGAAUACCAGGUGUCGGCGGGCACGGCCCGCCGGUGCCGCAGCAAACGC